rnacentral:piRNA from 1 species
UGUGAUGAAGGUUGAUAAGUGCU